UACAGAGGGUGCGAGCGUUGUCCGGAAUCACUGGGCGUAAAGGGCGCGUAGGUGGCGACCCAAGUCCGUGGUGAAAGCUCGUCGCUUAACGACGAGUCGGCCACGGAGACUGGGUGGCUCGAGCACUGUAGGGGCAGAUGGAAUUCCGGGUGUAGCGGUGGAAUGCGUAGAGAUCCGGAAGAACACCAGUGGCGAAGGCGGUCUGCUGGGCAGUUGCUGACACUGAGGCGCGACAGCGUGGGGAGCGAACAGG
rnacentral:rRNA from 1 species